GCUGCCGAGCCCCUGGGCACGGACAGACGGGCCCACACUGGUCAACAAGCGGCUGGCGGCCUCAUAGACCUGCAGCACAUUGCUAGUAGUUGUGACGCGCUGUAGCUGCGGCUGACGAUAGUCAAAAUCGCCCUUUGUUUUGUUCAAUCACAGCAAUUUUGGCCUGAAGACAUGUCGACUGUGCGCCUGUUCAGCGCGGCGACCCUCCGGCGCCAUUACGCCCUGCUGCCUCUGGUCGGCAUGCUGGCCGCGGCCGUGACCGGUGCCGUGGCCUUCUCCGUGCGGACGGCGGUCAGGGCGCCGGAGGUGGCGUACCGCAGGUCCGACGCUGCGCCAUGGGAGAGCUACCGCCAUCGGAGCUACAAACUAUACAACCCCAGCGGCCUGCGUCGUGACCAGUGCCCGGCGCCAAGGUUUUGAAAGCUCACGUGCGGCGCCGUCGCCGCGUGGUGGUCGCCGAGGGCGACCAGCGUCUCGGCGGGAAUCGACGCCGGCGUGAUUGUCUUCGCCCAUCGUCCGUUGCGAUUGUCCGGACCCAGUUGUCCGACGUGAUUGCUCAGACCAUUUCAUUGUCACAAAACGAAUUGUCUGCGCAUAGGCAUUGCAUUGUGUUUGGUUAACGUUGCGUUCCAUUGCGUUUGGUAAAGCACAAAGCCCAGACUGUGGAUCACUGUAUGUAUCGUGUGAAAUUAGUUGCCGACAGAUGUCAAAUUUGCAGAAUGUGUAGAAUGGUUCGGGAAUUCAAUUGCUUUGUAAAACUGUAUUGUAAAUUGUAUUGUGUGACGUUGCACUGCAUGGUAGAUUUGCCUUGUUUUGUAUCUUUGUUCUAGUAUUCAUGU